rnacentral:rRNA from 1 species
AACGAACGCUGGCGGCAUGCCUAACACAUGCAAGUCGAACGAGACCUUCGGGUCUAGUGGCGCACGGGUGCGUAACGCGUGGGAAUCUACCCUUGGGUUCGGAAUAACAGUUAGAAAUGACUGCUACUACCGGAUGAUGACGUAAGUCCAAAGAUUUAUCGCCCAAGGAUGAGCCCGCGUAAGAUUAGCUUGUUGGUGGGGUAAUAGCCUACCAAGGCGACGAUCUUUAGCUGGUCUGAGAGGAUGAUCAGCCACACUGGGACUGAGACACGGCCCAGACUCCUACGGGAGGCAGCAGUGGGGAAUAUUGGACAAUGGGCGAAAGCCUGAUCCAGCAAUGCCGCGUGAGUGAUGAAGGCCUUAGGGUUGUAAAGCUCUUUUACCAGGGAUGAUAAUGACAGGACCUGGAGAAUAAGCUCCGGCUAACUCCGUGCCAGCCGCCGCGGUAA